AGGGUACUAGUUAAACAACAACCUUAGUUUGUCAAACUAAAACUACGCUGGCGUACUUUG
rnacentral:tRNA from 1 species